rnacentral:rRNA from 1 species
UGGGGAAUUUUGGACAAUGGGCGAAAGCCUGAUCCAGCAAUGCCGCGUGUGUGAAGAAGGCCUUCGGGUUGUAAAGCACUUUUGUCCGGAAAGAAAUCCUUGGCUCUAAUACAGUCGGGGGAUGACGGUACCGGAAGAAUAAGCACCGGCUAACUACGUGCCAGCAGCCGCGGUAAUACGUAGGGUGCAAGCGUUAAUCGGAAUUACUGGGCGUAAAGCGUGCGCAGGCGGUUUGCUAAGACCGAUGUGAAAUCCCCGGGCUCAACCUGGGAACUGCAUUGGUGACUGGCAGGCUAGAGUAUGGCAGAGGGGGGUAGAAUUCCACGUGUAGCAGUGAAAUGCGUAGAGAUGUGGAGGAAUACCGAUGGCGAAGGCAGCCCCCUGGGCCAAUACUGACGCUCAUGCACGAAAGCGUGGGGAGCAAACAGGAUUAGAUACCCUGGUAGUCCACGCCCUAAACGAUGUCAACUAGUUGUUGGGGAUUCAUUUCCUUAGUAACGUAGCUAACGCGUGAAGUUGACCGCCUGGGGAGUACGGUCG